GUCAGGAUGGCCGAGCGGUCUAAGGCGCCAGACUCAAGCGUUCGCUUCCCGCCUGGGGCUUCUGGUCUCCACCUGGAGGCGUGGGUUCGAAUCCCACUUCUGACA
rnacentral:tRNA from 1 species